AGUGAACGCUGGCGGCAUGCUUUACACAUGCAAGUCGGACGAGUGGCGAACGGGUGAGUAACGCAUCGGAACGUACCGAGUAAUGGGGGAUAACUGACCGAAAGGAAAGCUAAUACCGCAUACUAUUCAAGCAGCCGAUGUCUGAUUAGCUGGUUGGCGGGGUAAAGGCCCACCAAGGCGACGAUCAGUAGCGGGUCUGAGAGGAUGAUCCGCCACACUGGGACUGAGACACGGCCCAGAAUCCGACGGGAGGCAGCAGUGGGGAAUUUUGGACAAUGGGCGCAAGCCUGAUCCAGCCAUGCCGCGUGUGUGAAGAAGGCCUUCGGGUUGUAAAGGACUUUCAGCGGGGAGGCGUUACCCGAAGAAGAAGCACCGGCUAACUCCGUGCCAGCAGCCGCGGUAAUAC
rnacentral:rRNA from 1 species